rnacentral:lncRNA from 1 species
GCCCUUCGAAGGUUUUCUUUUAUUAAAAAUAAAUUCAAAUUUAUAUAUGCGAUUUGAAAUCUUCUAGCCGAAAUGUGAUUAUAUUGCUUUGGUUUAAUAUCAUUGUAUACGAAGUUAGAAACUGGCCAGAGGCGUGCCUACAGUGUAUUGAAAAAGGAAUUCACCUCAGGCCCCCGAUUAAUAUGACUAUUUUUAGGGCCCCAAAAUUUAAAAUAAUUUCUAAUCUAGUGGUUUAGACUUAUUAAAAAAAACAUUUCUACGAAAAUUAAUUAACUCAUUUCCUGAAUUCAUGUAUUUUUUUUCUAUAUAACAUAAUAUAACAUAUUUACGUUAUAAACUUAUUUUUUUACAGUAUUAGACUUGUGUAUUUGAUGAAAAUAAUAUAUCAUAUUAGAAAAUUAUUCUCAUUACUGUUGUAAAUAAGUUUAUUUUUAGAACUUGCCUUAGGCCCCUUAAACUCUUCGCACGGCACUGAACCUGGCAGAUAGUAUAGUAGGGCGAUUGAGUAGAUCCAUCAUUGAAAUUAUCGUUAUAGCUAAACGACAAUGUCAAAUACCACUGGCUUUGAGUCCGGUUUUACAAAUCUAAAACCCAUCUCACUUAAGUUUAGCUUUGAAUGUUUUUUGUCUUUAUCUCAUAGUUAAGAAAAAGUAAAAUAAUAGACCUUUUAAGAAUCUAAUCUAUGGUAUGGUUUGCUGGUUACACAUUUUGUUUAUAACACACCUGUCGUUUAUUCCUGGAUUUUUAAGGGCAACAUCUAUCAUCUGGUUUACAUGUACCCU